AAAAAAAAAAAAAAAAAAAACAAAAAAAAAAUGUACAUAAUAUUUAUAUAGGUAUUUCUGUUGUACAGGGGUUAUUUUUAACAGACAAAAAAAAAAGCUCGUCGAUGUGAUUCAAGUAUAAUAAUAUGCAAUUAUAUUAUUUAUAAAUUAUAAUGUAAUAAUAAUAAAUUACGAUCGUUAUUUUGCUCAAGCGAUGAAACGUCCAAUCGAUUUUUUUUUUUAAAAUGUUAUUUGAUUAGGGUUUUUUUUAAAUUUUUUUGUGUUGUCUAUUAGCGCGAUUCAGGCGGUUUGUAUUAUUAUUAUUAUUAUUAUUAUGCGAGUUGUUAUCAUUGCGAUCCUUAGAAAUAUUGAUUGUCUCAGAAAGCCAAUAUUAUAUUUUGUUUCUCUUUCGUAAUAGUUAUUCGUUCGUUUUUGUAUUGCUAUUAUAUGUUUUGUUCAUAUACGAAAUUGCAAUAUUAUUAUUAUAUUUUAUUAUUAUUAUGUAUUUAUAUUAUGUAGUUAGGUAUGUAAAACGCGUCGUAACAAUAAAAAAAAAAUAUAUUUUAUAAUAACAAGCUCCCCCUUAAGCUCCCUGCCCCCCCGUCCCCCCCGAAUAAAUAGAACAGUGAUUUUUAUUAUUAUUAUUAUUAUUCUUUUAAUAAUAAUUUCAACUAUAUAAUAUUAUUAUAUAAACAAUUUAAUUUAUUCAUAAACCUAUACAAUA